rnacentral:lncRNA from 1 species
UUUAUUUCAAUUUAUUCAAGCUUGGGCUCUGCAUUAGAGGUCACUCUAGUCGUAGAAAGUUGAACAAAUUAACAUCUUAAAAAACAGAGAGAAGAGAGAAAAGAAAACUCUCAAGAUUGUCAAUUAAAUAUGUUCAGAGUUUCGCAUGUUCUAAAUCAUUGAUUAUAGGAAAAUAUAUAUUUGGAGUCUACAAUGUCAUAUUUUAAGAGAAUUUUAUGUGUGUCACAAUGUCAAGAAAC